UGGUGGCGCUGGCGCUGGGCCUCGCGCUCGCCCGCUUCCUGCGCGGGCCGCGCGCGCUCGACCGGGUGGUGGCGUUCGACGCGCUCACCAUCGU
rnacentral:tRNA from 1 species